rnacentral:lncRNA from 1 species
UCUGCCAGAGGAGAAUAAAGGUAGCAAAGAAGAAAGACAAUAAUCCCUAUCUACCUCAUUCUAACAUUAUUUUUGCCUGCAACAUUAACUAUGGAAUGCGAAUGCUGCAUGUGAGAAUAUCAUAUGAUUCCACUCGAAUUCAAAAAAGCUUUAACACACAGUCAUGGAUCAUCUCAGGAGAAAGAAAUUGAACAAACACAAUAUUGAAGACAAGGAUCUUCAUUGUCUUAGAAGUCAUAAAACAG